rnacentral:rRNA from 1 species
GGGUCAGUAGGUUGGUCGUGCCACCGGUACGUACUGGUCUCACUGAUUCCUCCUUCCUGAGAACCGUAAUGCCAUUAAUUUGGUGUUGCGGGGAAACAGGACUGUUACUUUGAAAAAAUUAGAGUGUUUAAAGCAAGCUAACGCUUGAAUACAUUAGCAUGGAAUAAUGAAAUAGGACGAUCGAUCCUAUUUUGUUGGUUUCUAGGAUUGACGUA